CACUGUGGUUUUGAUUUGCAUUUCUCUAAUAAUCAAUAAUGUUGAGCAUCUUUUCAUGUGCCUAUUGGCCAAAAGAUAGCUAUUAUUAUUAUGAAAUUAGUGUUUCCAUGUAAAAGUUCUUCUUCAGUAAAAAUACACACUAAUUUUGAUCACAUCUCCUUCACAGAAAGAUAAAUUUCUUAGAUAAAGUAAUCAAUUAGAAGGAAAUAUUUCAAAUGUAUAAAAUUUGGUUAUGUAACAAUAUAAAAACGUACCAAAUUUUCGGCUAAAGAGGUCAUUGACUUGUUCUCUUAGUUGUUUUAUUUUUUCAAUGCUUGAUAAUCUUUCCUUCUCAUUAUCUAAAAAAAUUAAAAAAACAAGCAAGCCAGGUUUAUUCAUGUAUUUGCUCCCCUGAAAAGCUGUUGGAGGAAACACCUGUUAGCACAUGUGAAAGCACUUUACCUGGCUUAUCAUUCAGUUUAGUUUUAGCAAUAAUUAAGCAUUUUGGAAAUUUGUAAAUUUAAGGCAUUAUAGAUGACAGAGAAUUUUCCAAAUUAUGACUAUGUAAAUAUAAGACAUACUACUUUAGAGAACAUUUUCAAUAUCAUGCAAGAUAAGGAUGUCCACUUUCACCCCUACUCUUCAACAUUAUAAUAGAGAUCCUAGCCAGUGCAAUACAGCAAGUAAAAUGAAUAAGAUGUAUGUACUAAGAUUAGGGGGGAAAAUUUUUUAAUACUUGAAAUUUUUAUUCUAUUUAAUUUUGAAUAACGAAAAGUGAUUAUGUGGUUCAAAAUUCAGGUGAUAUAAAACAGUACAUCAUGAAAUGUCUCCCUUCCAUCCCUAUCUUAGCUCUCAAGUUUCCUUCUUUGGAGGAAUCUAUGCUAUUAGAUUCUUUUGUAUCUCUCCAGAUAUGUUUUAUAUACACCUAUUCAGAAAAGAAGAUUAAUUGAUGGGCAGCAAAUACAUUUCACCUCUGUGGCCAGUUCCAAUCCAAUGGUAGCCAGUGCUUGGAGUUGGCUGCCCUAAGGGGUAUUUUCCAGGGAUCGAACGCAGGGCCUCGCCAGUGAGACCACCGAGUCCCAACCACUGGACCGCCAGGGAAUUUCCACAAUAAUAAUUUUUAAAAAGGAAAUGAGUGCUAAGAUGACCAGUAUCAAUUUACCAAGAGGACAAGGGCUCUCAGGGGAGCUGGAAGAUGGAGAAAGAAUCUGAACACCGUACGGCAGUCACAGCGACAUGAUGGUACCAUAUCGUCAAACUGACAUCACGCUGGGGUCCAGCGGGAUUUUGGUCUUUGGGUAGAGAACCAAGCCACCUAACUGCACACAGCACCCACCUGUGCCAUGUUUGGAAAGUUUGUGUAUUUGGUAACAAUUGUCUUCUCCCCGUUGAACUUGUAUGCUGUCAAUGAAACAACUAUUAAGAAAAGGCACUUGAUGGACUUCCCUGGUGGCUCAGUGGUUAUGAAUCCGCCUCCAGUGCAGGGAACACGGGUUUGAGCCCUGGUCUGGGAAGAUCCCACAUGCCGCGGAGC